GUCAUCUCCACCUCUUCCAAACCUCUGCAGCUUCCUCCAGAGCACAGAAAAGAAAGAGAAAAGCUCCACCGGUUACAUCUGUCACGCCAUCCAUGGCACCACUCUCAGAAGACACCACCUGCUGUGCUUGCUGCGGGGAGCAAGCACAGCAUUAUCCGCCUGCAAGCUCCCCUCAGGAGUGUAGAUCCGAGGUGCCAUGGGUGUGCUGUGACUUCUGCCAGCACUGGU